AGAUUGAACGCUGGCGGCAUGCCUUACACAUGCAAGUCGAACGGCAGCACGGGAGCAAUCCUGGUGGCGAGUGGCGAACGGGUGAGUAAUAUAUCGGAACGUGCCCGAGUCGUGGGGAUAACGCAGCGAAAGCUGUGCUAAUACCGCAUACGAUCUAUGGAUGAAAGCGGGGACCGUAAGGCCUCGCGCGAUUGGAGCGGCUUGAUAUCAAGAUUAGGUUGUUGGUGAAGGUAAAGCUCACCAAGCCGAGAUCUGUAGCUGGUUGAGUAGAACGACCAGCCACACGUGGACUGAGACACGGCCAGACCUCCGUACGGGAGGCAGCGAGGUAGGGUAAUUUGGACAAGU
rnacentral:rRNA from 1 species